UACGUAGGGUGCAAGCGUCGUCCGGAAUUAUUGGGCGUAAAGAGCUCGUAGGCGGUUUGUCGCGUCUGCUGUGAAAACUGGGGGCUCAACCCCCAGCCUGCAGUGGGUACGGGCAGACUAGAGUGCGGUAGGGGAGAUUGGAAUUCCUGGUGUAGCGGUGGAAUGCGCAGAUAUCAGGAGGAACACCGAUGGCGAAGGCAGAUCUCUGGGCCGUAACUGACGCUGAGGAGCGAAAGCAUGGGGAGCGAACAGG
rnacentral:rRNA from 1 species